CCUACGGGAGGCAGCAGUGAGGAAUAUUGGUCAAUGGGCGAGAGCCUGAACCAGCCAAGUCGCGUGAAGGAUGACGGCCCUACGGGUUGUAAACUUCUUUUGUCAGGGAGCAAUUGGGUCCACGCGUGGGCGUAGCGAGAGUACCUGAAGACAAAGCAGCGGCUAACUCCGUGCCAGCAGCCGUGGUAAUACGGAGGAUGCGAGCGUUAUCGGGUUUCAUUGGGUUUAAAGGGUGCGUAGGCGGAAUAGCAAGUCAGCGGUAAAAAUUCGGGGCUCAACCCAGUCGUGCCGUUGAAACUGAUGUUCUUGAGUGGGCGAGAAGUAUGCGGAAUGCGUGGUGUAGCGGUGAAAUGCGUAGAUAUCACGCAGAACUCCGAUUGCGAAGGCAGCAUACCGGAGCCCAACUGACGCUGAAGCUCGAAAGUGUGGGUAUCAAACAGGAUUAGAUACCCUGGUAGUC
rnacentral:rRNA from 1 species